rnacentral:lncRNA from 1 species
UUUUUAAAAACAAAAUUAAAAAAAUUGAAAAAAAAAUGAUACCACUAACAAAACCCUAAAUCUUAAAUUCUAAACUCUAAAUCAUAAACCCAAACUCAAAACCCUAAAUCCGAAACCCAAAUUCAAAAUCCUAAAUCCUAAACCCAAACUCUAGAUCCUAAAUCCUAAACCCAAACUCUAGAUUCAAAUUCUAAACCAUAAAC